UUGCAUGAAUCAAAUAGAUGACUAUAUAGAUUAUAUUGUAUUGUAUUGGAUGUUAUUGAGGUCGCUUCAGUAGAUCUUUAUGCCCAUCACUGCAUGAUGAGACUUCCAGAGAUUUGGUGGAAUGCGAGAGAGAAGAAAUAAAGAAGAAAGAGGGGAUGAAAGAGAGUGUGACCUGACAGUAAGGAGGAGUGAAAGAGAAGUAGAGAGGAGAACGAAGGAGAGGAGAGAUGGAGGAGAGAAAAUAGGGGGGAAAGGAAAGGAGCACAGAGGAGAAGAGAAGAGAAAGCAAAUGACGUGGGGGUUUAGUCCAAUGCUCCUUAAUUAGUUUUACCCUGGCAGUCCAUGUGUUGUGCCAACGAGUUUGUUGCUUGGUCAAGAGGUGGCUGUAUAGAAAUAAAGACUGACUGCAUCCCAAAUGACACCCUAAUUCCUAUGUAGUGCACUACUUUUGUCUAGAGCCCUAUGGGUCCAUGUCAAAGGUACUGCACUAUAUAGGGAAUAGGGUGCCAUUGGGACACAGCCAGCGUGUUGGAGCCAGCAGCCCAAUGACGUCGGCACAGAGAGAGACUGGCAGUCCUCUGUUAGGGAAGGAACUCUCCAUUUCCGGUAGGGUGUCUGGUAAGCGGAAGGAGGCUGAUGUGUAGAACAAAUGAGACUUUUUAAAAAGAGAAUGGUGUUGCUAAGAGAGGAAAGAGAUGAGUCAGAUAGGAAUCAGGGAGGGGGAGGAGUGAGAGGUAUGGGGAGAGCGAGGAAGGGGGAGACAGCGAAAAAGAGAGAGAAAAGGAGAGCGAUACAAUUGAAAAUGGAGAAAGGAAGAGAGGUAAAGUAAAGGAUAACUGAGGAUGAUCGAGGAAGUAGACCUAACCUGUAAAGAAUGUGACAAUUUUUUUUUAGAAAUUGUUGAACUGACAUGGAAUUCUCAAUUGACCCAAAAUUUAUACUGUGAGUUGAAUUGGAAAAAUAAUAAUAAUAUUGUGUGUGUAUUGAAGUUUGCCUUUGCAAUACAAAUAGUUGUAUUUAUCUUUUAUUUAUUAAGCAGGGAGUAAUGUGAAGUUGAUCACCCAAGACCCAGCAAUUUUGGAACAUGUGGAAACCUGCUCCACCUAUUGAAAUGCACCUUUUGUUAGAGCUUUCUGUGAGGAAAACCAGUGGCGCAUUCAUGAAGCGCAAGGGAAAUUCCUGCUAUACAAAAGAGGACGGAGGUCCGCCCAGAACAGACCCUUACUGUGAGCUGCCCAGGAGGAGACACAUCAUCCACAAAACAAUGGAGGAAUGGCAACUGAUUUCAGACCUGAGCCCUAGGACCUUGCCUCAGGACUACCUGGCAUGAUGACUCCUUGCUGUCCCCAGUUUGAACUGUUCUGCCUGCAGCUAUGGAACCCUGACCUGUUCACUGGACGUACUACCUGUCCCAGACCUGCUGUUUUCAACUCUCUAGAGACCGCAGGAGUGGUAGAGAUACUCUCAAUGAUCGGCUAUGAAAAGCCAACUGACAUUUACUCCUGAGGUGCUGACUUGUUGCACCCUCGACAACUACUGUGAUUAUUAUUAUUUGACCAUGCUGGUCAUUUAUGAACAUUUGAACAUCUUGGCCAUGUUCUGUUAUAAUUUCCACCCGGUACAGCCAGCAGAGGACUGGCCACCCCUCAUAGCCUGGUUCCUCUCUAGGUUUCUUCCUAGGUUUUGGCCUUUCUAGGGAGUUUUUCCUAGCCGUGCUUCUACACCUGCAUUGCUUGCUGUUUGGGGUUUUAGGCUGGGUUUCUGUACAGCACUUUGAGAUAUCAGCUGAUGUAAGAAGGGCUAUAUAAAUACAUUUAAUUUGAUUUGGUGGGAAAAGUACUCAAUUGUCAUACUUGAGUAAAAGUAAAGAUACCUUAAUAGAAAAUGACUCAAGUAAAAGUGAAUGUCACCCAGUAAAAUCUAUAUCUAUCUCAUCUAUAUAACUAAUAAAGUAACCCAUAGCAUUGCAAACUUACAUAUUACAUCACAAGACAUAGAGGAUCAUCAUGAUCCCAGUGGAACACCAUUUUUGAUGUUAAAGAGAUAAUUGGAUUCUGUCCAGAAAAAUUGUAAUGCACAGAGUCCAGAGACAAAUACAAUCAAUAAUUGAAGGGCUAAAUAGAGAAGUGAAACUCCAGGUUCCUCGCUGGUCUUUGAACCAAGGAAGCGCUAACUUUGACCAACAUGAUAAAGAGGUUCUCUAUACCAUGAUCACAGUGCUCUGCUGGAAGGACAAGCAGUCAACACCACUGUCUGUCAUCUUUUAAUGAUUGCAAGUGACACUAAUGACUGUUUUAUGGUUAAUACAGUUAGCUUAUAACUCAAAUUGAUUUGAACUUUUAUAACUUUCUUCUUGGCAGUCUAAUGUGCUAUGCAAUUCCUUUGUUUAGAAGAUGUCUUGUCCCAAAAGUAUUUAUGCUCACAUUGACGUCUGUCUAGGCUUUAAGUGUUCUUCUACGAUUAUUUUGUUAUUUACUACGGUAAAGCUUCUUCCAUGUAGCUCAUUUAGCUCUGAUUCAAGGGUCCUCGUUUAUAAAAUAUUUGUAUGUACAAAUGUGAUUGUAAAUUGUGCAUAUAACGAAAUCCAUGACAACAGUGUGAUUUAUAAAUCUUAAACUUGCAAUUUCAUUUGAUCUUAAAGCAUAUCAGAGUCGUCAUGCCCCAUUUUAAAACAGGGCAGAUGUUAAAUGAAUGACUAAACUUCAUUUUUAAGCCCACAUUUUAUCAUAUUUAUUUAUAAAAACAUAUGCCAGUGGUAUUUUGCAGAGGGGGCACACUGACUGGACCGGGCAAAGAGUACUGGGCCUCACUCCCGCGGGUGCACAAUUUGUUUCUUGCUCUAGCACUACACAGCUGAUUCAAACAAUCAAAGCUAGAUGAUGAGUUGGUUAUUUGAAUCAGCUGUGUAGUGCUAGGCCCAAAACUAAAAUGUGCCUCCAGGAGGGGGACAAAGGACUGAAUUUGUGAUACCCUGCUCUAGUGCAUGCAAUCAGUGUCGUUUGUGAAGGAAGAAAGAGAGUGUACAGCACGUGUCAAACUAAUUCAAUGGAGGGGCCCGAGUGUCUGCGGGUUUUCACUCCUCCCUGGUUGUCAAGGUGUUAAUUGAAAAGGAAACCAAAAACCUGCAGACAUUAGGCCCUCCAUGGAAUGAGUUUGACACCCCUGAUGUAGAGUGACACAUAAUGUUCAGUUAGAUAUUAACUGCCGGUGAUGGGCAGGACUCGCCGGAGGUAUGUUUGUCAAUUAAUUUGAUCAAGCUAUUAUUUCUUCUUGAUGAAUAAAUAGCACAAAAAUA